AGUGAACGCUGGCGGUAGGCCUAACACAUGCAAGUCGAACGGCAGCACAGUAAGAGCUUGCUCUUACGGGUGGCGAGUGGCGGACGGGUGAGGAAUACAUCGGAAUCUACUUUUUCGUGGGGGACAACGUAGGGAAACUUACGCUACUACCGAAUACGACCUACGGGUGAAAGCAGGGGAUCUUCGGACCUUGCGCGAUUGAAUGAGCCGAUGUCGGAUUAGCUAGUUGGCGGGGUAAAGGCCCACCAAGGCGACGAUCCGUAGCUGGUCUGAGAGGAUGAUCAGCCACACUGGAACUGAGACACGGUCCAGACUCCUACGGGAGGCAGCAGUAGGGAAUAUUGGACAAUGGGCGCAAGCCUGAUCCAGCCAUACCGCGUGGGUGAAGAAGGCCUUCGGGUUGUAAAGCCCUUUUGUUGGGAAAGAAAAGCAGCAGGUUAAUACCCCGCUGUUCUGACGGUACCCAAAGAAUAAGCACCGGCUAACUUCGUG
rnacentral:rRNA from 1 species